UUUUAGAGACUCUCCGGCCGGCAGCGGCCAACAGCAGGCAGGCGUCCGAGUAGUCCUCCUACUCUCAUCGGGGAGGAGGAGAAAAAGGAGUAAAAAAGAAAUCUGGCACUGGCUGAGAAUUAUUUUGGAUGCCGUGUGCAACCCUCUUCCCCUUUUGAGGCCCAGUUAGUGCUGACACUGGCUUCAGGAAGUAAAUCUUUGCUUAUCUUGAUUCCCUGCAGAAGAAUGAGCUACCACACUUUUUUGGGUGUAUAAACAAUGUGAGUCACACAAAUUGGACGGAGUCCUGAGACUGGUGCUUUCUUUCCUUGACUU
rnacentral:lncRNA from 1 species